rnacentral:snRNA from 1 species
CAGGAUGAGAUCCCUUGAC